rnacentral:lncRNA from 1 species
CUAGACAAAAAUAUAACCCAACAAAAUCGAGAAUAAUCAUCAACUAUAACAAACCCAUAAUAGUUUCCAUCUAAGCUUUUGGUCUUAGAAGUACCAAAAAGGUCCAUAUGAAGAAGUUCGAGAGGUCUAGAUGUUGAAACAACAUUUUUCGAUUAAAAGAGAAAUUUGUUUGCUUCCCCAUUUGACAUGCUUCUCAUAAGUGGUCUUUUGUGAAAUUCAUUUUAG